GAGAUGAAAGUUACUUCGGUACAUCGGUGACAGGUGGUGCAUGGUUGUCGUCAGCUCGUGUCGUGAGAUGUUGGGUUAAGUCCCGCAACGAGCGCAACCCCUAUUGUUAGUUGCCAUCAUUCAGUUUGGGCACUCUAGCGAGACUGCCGGUAAUAAACCGGAGGAAGGUGGGGAUGACGUCAAAUCAUCAUGCCCCUUAUGACCUGGGCUACACACGUGCUACAAUGGUUGGUACAACGAGUUGCGAGUCGGUGACGGCGAGCUAAUCUCUUAAAGCCAAUCUCAGUUCGGAUUGUAGGCUGCAACUCGCCUACAUGAAGUCGGAAUCGCUAGUAAUCGCGGAUCAGCACGCCGCGGUGAAUACGUUCCCGGGCCUU
rnacentral:rRNA from 1 species